rnacentral:rRNA from 1 species
GUCCGCAGCCAUACCACCCUGAACACGCCCCAUCUCGUCUGAUCUCAGAAGCUAAGCAGGGUCGGGCCUGGUCGGUACCUGGAUGAGAGAACCAGCUCUCACUGCCGGUC